rnacentral:rRNA from 1 species
CCCGCGGUGUAUUAGUUAGUUGGUGAGGUAAUGGCUCACCAAGACAAUGAUACAUAGCCGAGCUGAGAGACUGACCGGCCACAAUGGGACUGAGACACGGCCCAUACUCCUACGGGAGGCAGCAGUAGGGAAUCUUCCACAAUGGACGAAAGUCUGAUGGAGCAACGCCGCGUGUGUGAUGAAGGGUUUCGGCUCGUAAAACACUGUUGUAAGAGAAGAAUGACAUUGAGAGUAACUGUUCAAUGUGUGACGGUAUCUUACCAGAAAGGAACGGCUAAAUACGUGCCAGCAGCCGCGGUAAUACGUAUGUUCCAAGCGUUAUCCGGAUUUAUUGGGCGUAAAGCGAGCGCAGACGGUUAUUUAAGUCUGAAGUGAAAGCCCUCGGCUCAACCGAGGAAUUGCUUUGGAAACUGGAUAACUUGAGUGCAGUAGGGGAAAGUGGAACUCCAUGUGUAGCGGUGAAAUGCGUAGAUAUAUGGAAGAACACCAGUGGCGAAGGCGGCUUUCUGGACUGUAACUGACGUUGAGGCUCGAAAGUGUGGGUAGCAAACAGGAUUAGAUACCCUGGUAGUCCACACUGUAAACGAUGAGUGCUAGCUGUUUGAGGGUUUCCGCCCUUGAGUGACGAAGCUAACGCAUUAAGCACUCCGCCUGGGGAGUACGACCGCAAGGUUGAAACUCAAGGAAUUGACGGGACCCGCACAGCGGUGG